CCUGAAAAAAUGCUUUGGG
rnacentral:misc_RNA from 1 species